rnacentral:rRNA from 1 species
UACGGAGGAUGCAAGCGUUAUCCGGAAUGAUUGGGCGUAAAGCGUCCGCAGGUGGCAAUGUAAGUCUGCUGUCAAAGCGUCUGGCUCAACCAGAUAAAGGCAGUGGAAACUACAUAGCUAGAGUAAGGUAGGGGUAGAGGGAAUUCCUGGUGUAGCGGUGAAAUGCGUAGAGAUCAGGAAGAACACCAAUGGCGAAGGCAGCUCGCUGGGACGGUACUGACGCUGAGGCGCGAAAGCGUGGGGAGCAAACAGG